rnacentral:lncRNA from 1 species
CUUCAAGGGAGUGUUAUCUCCCCACGCACCCGUGGCAUGCCCCGAGCUGUUAUGCUCUCGGGGCAUCAAGACAUGAAGGCAAUAAGGAUGUGUCUGGAAUUGGUGGGUUCUUGGUCUCACUGACUUCAAGAAUGAAGCCGCAGACCCUCGUGGCCAUCAAUAUCCAGAUGAUCCUCAGUGAGGGAUACCCUCCUGUCAAUAUUCAAGAGUCAUUCUUCUACAGAAGACCCUACACUGUCCAUAAGUGAGAAAUGACAGGGGCAAAACACUGCUGCUGUGUCCUUUGGACCUAACUGGAUAACACUUUCACUAACCCAUGGAGUUACUUUCAUGCCCUGAUAGCUAACAAGAGGCCAAGACUCACAGAACAACCACCACCACACCUGUCUGCAGUAAGCAAUUACCGAAGACAGAUCUUCGUCCAUUUGUCCUAAAGAAUUGGGGUCUUUGCGCCUUGAUGGGUGGAAUACUAUGGUAGGUAGCUAGUCAGACAUAAGCAGGGCAGAAGAGGGCCCCCUUCCCCAACCAGGAAUGUCAGGCAACCAUCACAUGAUGGUCAGGCAUUGUUAAACUGCCUCUGUAAAAUAAUUGUUCACAGCCCAUGCCAGAGAAAGGCAGUCUCUCAAUAAAAGGAAACACCUGAAACUGGGGACCAGCAGCUUCCCGAUAAGAUCUCAGGAGUUGGGUGAUUGGGCUUAAGGGUGUGCAUGAAGAAGCAAAACGGAAGAGUUUAACCGGCAUAUGACUUCCUUAGGACAUUUGACUGGUAAUGGAAGAACACCUCAAGUGAGCAUGUGUACAACUACAGUAAACACACUGCUCAUGCUUCCCUGCCAAACACCUGCAGGCCACUGCACAAGUAGAAAGCACACCCCAAGGGAAUUAUCAGGGGUGAAAGGAGAAAAGACCCCAAAAGUAUGCCAAUAUUUAAAGCCUUAAGUCAAAGGUCAAACCAUGCACUUGAUCUUUCAAGUCACCUACUUGGUACCUCUUCCAAAUGUACUUUACUUCCUUUCAAUCCUGCCCUAAAACUCUUUAAUAAAUUUAUCUCAUGCUCUAAAACAUACCUUGAUCUCUGCUUCUGCCUUAUGCCCCUCAGUUCUUUGUUCUAAACAGCCCUUUUUUUCUAAGGAGGCAAGAAUUGAGGUUGCUGCAGACGCCUACAUAUUUGUCGCCAGCAACAUACUUUGGUGCUGUGUGACUCAGAUAAAUUCCACUACUAACAUUUAUAGCAAAUUGUUCCAAUUUCUACUCCUGGACAAGACAAUGAGAACUAGACAUCAUUCUAAGCUUAAAGAGGCCUAUGAUAGGAAAUAUGUUCCAACAGAUUUUGCCAACAAUUUCAAUAUUUCUAAAGGUAAAAAAUGAAAAUAUGAAAAAAUAAGAAAAAUAUAU